rnacentral:tRNA from 1 species
UGGGCUAUGGUGUAAUUGGCAGCACGACUGAUUCUGGUUCAGUUAGUUAAGGUUCGAGUCCUUAUAGCCCAG